AAAGUACUCCCUCCGUCCCAAAAUUCUUGUCUUAGAUUUGUCUAGAUAUGGAUGUAUCAAGUCACAUUUUAGUAUUAGAUACAUCUGUAUCUAGACAAAUCUAAGACAAGAAAUUUGGGACAGAGGGAGUAGUUG
rnacentral:pre_miRNA from 1 species